GCACGGGGCAGGACUCUCUGGAAGGAUGCUGUGUAUCACCCCUCUACCUUCUUCCAGAGCAGCUUCUCUUAAGGAGCCAGGAAAGGCUCUGUCUCUCCUACUUAGUGGGUUUGCGGAAGGGGCGUGUGUAGCAGGCGGGAAUCAGCAUGGAUGUGGAAUCACACUUAAAAUUUAACCAUCUCCCCUCCGCCAGAUUACCUAAAUUAUUGAUGCCCUUACAGAAACACUAAUUAGAGGACAGCUGCUAACCCCACCCCACCCCCAGUCUCUUCUGUUCUCUGGCGAAACAGCUUUCCUUUGAGCUCCCUCCCACCCCCUUAAGGCAAAGGGAGUUGUAUGAUUUGAAUAUAAAGGCAGCAAGAAGAAAAUUUGAGUCUUUGGAUGCAAAAAGGCAACUGAUGGCAAGCUUCACAGCCCUAGACUACAAUAAACACAGUUUGCACCCCACCCUCCAAAGUUGCAGAACAGAGAAUGACAUUUGUCUUGCUGGAGGUUUACUUGAACAUGGUGACCUGACCUACCCAGACAGCUGCAACAAAGGAUUCUUGACAUCAGGAAGUUUGCAGCAACCAACCACACCUCCUCCCCUUUCCGUAUCAAAGAAGCCUGAAUUCUAACUCAGGGAAGAUGGUUCUUUGGGAUAUUAGCCCACCAUCUUCUCAGUUUGCUGGCUUUCCAAAUAAAGUCGAUAUUGCUUGCCCCAACUUGUUUCUUCAUUUAUUGGCCUGUUGUGCAGCAAGCAGUAGGAGCUUGGAUUCAGUAACACCUCUGUACAGUGGAAUAUUAUUCAGUCAUUAAAAAUAACGGUUCCCUGAUGGCUCAGACUAUAAAGAAUCUGCUUGAAAUGUGGGAGAAUCGGGUUCAAUCCCUGGAUCAGAAAGAUCUGAUGGAGAGGGGAAUAGCAACCCACUCCAGUAUCCUUGCCUGGGGAAUUCCAUGGACAGAGGAGCCUGGAGGGGUACAGUCCAUGGGACCUCAAAGAGUCAGACACAACUGAGUGAUUAACACACACAUCAAAAAUAAAGAAGCACUGAGACAUACUACAACAUGGCUGAACCUCAAAAACAUUACGCUGAGUGAAGGAAGCCAGACACAAAGUGUCACGUAGUGUAUGAUUCCCUUCAUAUGAAACAUCCAGAAUAGGCAAAGCCACAGAGACAGAGAGUAGAUUGGCAGUUUCCAGGAGCAGGGGGAUGGGGAGACAGGGGCUGCCUGCUAGUGAGUAUAGGGCUGCAUUUUGAGGUGAUGGAAAUGUCCUAAAAUAAGAUAGAAAAGUGGCACGAUACUGUGAAUGUACUAAAUGCUCUGAAUUGUUCUCUUUCAAAGGGUUAGAGACUUCCCUGGUGGUCCAGUGGUUAAAACUUUGCCUUCCAGGGCAGGGGGUUCAAACCAGCCAGGUUCAAUCCCCAGCUGGUCAGGGAGCUGAAAUCCCACGUGCCUUAACGGCCAAAAACCAAACAGAAACCCCCAUAAAACAGAAGCAAUAUUGUAACAAACUCAAUAAAGACUUUAAAAAUGAUCCACAUCAAAAGAAUCUUUAGGAACUUCCCUGGUGGUCCAGCGGCUAAGGCUCCAGAGUCCCAGUGCAGAGGGCCUGAAGUUCAAUCCCCUGGUCAGGGAAUUGGAUCCCACAUGCCACAACUAAGACCUGGCAGAGCCAGGAAAAAAAAACUGUAAAUAAAUAAAAAGAUUAAUUUCAUGUGAAAGGAAUUUCCCACAAAUUUUUUUUAACGCAGUGCAAGAGUGAGGAGAAAAUAAAC
ensembl:lncRNA